UGCCAGCAGCCGCGGUAAUACGAGGGGUCCUAGCGUUGUUCGGAAUUAUUGGGCGUAAAGCGCAUGUAGGUGGUUUGGUAAGUCAGAUGUGAAAGCCCUGGGCUCAACCCAGGAAGUGCAUUUGAUACUGCUGAACUCGAGUAUCGGAGAGGGUAGUGGAAUUCCAGGUGUAGUGGUGAAAUACGUAGAUAUCUGGAGGAACACCGGUGGCGAAGGCGGCUACCUGGCCGAAUACUGACACUCAGAUGCGAAAGCGUGGGGAGCAAACAGGAUUAGAUA
rnacentral:rRNA from 1 species